AGCCUUAUAUUCAAUAAUGAUAUGAAAUUGCAAAUUUUAAGGAGUAAAAUAUAUACUAAGGCUU
rnacentral:tRNA from 1 species